UACAGAGGGUGCGAGCGUUGUUCGGAAUUACUGGGCGUAAAGCGCGCGCAGGCGGGCUUUUAAGUCUCGUGGUGAAAUGCCGGGGCUCAACCCCGUGCCCGCCGGAGAUACUGGGAGGCUGGAGACGAGUAGAGGCAAGCGGAAUUCCGGGUGUAGCGGUGGAAUGCGUAGAGAUCCGGAAGAACACCGGAGGCGAAGGCGGCUUGCUGGGCUCUGUCUGACGCUGAGGCGCGAAAGCGUGGGGAGCGAACAGG
rnacentral:rRNA from 1 species